rnacentral:rRNA from 1 species
AGGUGCGAUCAGGCCAAAACUAAUGCAUCAGAUCUCAUCAGAACUCCGCAGUUAAGCGUGCUUGGGCGAGAGUAGUACUACGAUGGGUAACCUCUUGGGAAGUCCUCGUGUUGCACCCC